CACCUGGGGAGUGCGGCCGCAAGGUUAAAACUCAAAUGAAUUGACGGGGGCCCGCACAAGCGGUGGAGCAUGUGGUUUAAUUCGACGCAACGCGAAGAACCUUACCUGACCUCGACAUGCAGAGAACUUUCCAGAGAUGGAUUGGUGCCUUCGGGAACUCUGACACAGGUGCUGCAUGGCCGUCGUCAGCUCGUGUCGUGAGAUGUUGGGUUAAGUCCCGUAACGAGCGCAACCCCUAUCCCUAGUUGCUAGCAGUUCGGCUGAGAACUCUAGGGAGACUGCCGGUGACAAACCGGAGGAAGGUGGGGAUGACGUCAGGUCAUCAUGGCCCUUACGGCCAGGGCUACACACGUGCUACAAUGGUGCGCACAGAGGGCUGCAAACCCGCGAGGGGGAGCCAAUCUCACAAAACGCAUCGUAGUCCGGAUCGCAGUCUGCAACUCGACUGCGUGAAGUCGGAAUCGCUAGUAAUCGUGAAUCAGAAUGUCACGGUGAAUACGUUCCCGGGCCUUGUACACACCGCCCGUCACACCAUGGGAGUGGAUUGCACCAGAAGUGGUUAGUCUAACCUUCGGGAGGACGAUCACCACGGUGUGGUUCAUGACUGGGGUGAAGUCGUAACAAGGUAACCGUA
rnacentral:rRNA from 1 species